AUUGAACGCUGGCGGCAGGCUUAACACAUGCAAGUCGAACGGUAACAGGAGAAAAGCUUGCUCUUGCUGACGAGUGGCGGACGGGUGAGUAAUGCUUGGGAAUCUGCCUUAUGGAGGGGGAUAACUACGGGAAACUGUAGCUAAUACCGCGUAAUAUCUUCGGAUUAAAGUGUGGGACCUUCGGGCCACAUGCCAUAAGAUGAGCCCAAGUGAGAUUAGGUAGUUGGUGAGGUAAAGGCUCACCAAGCUGACGAUCUCUAGCUGGUUUGAGAGGAUGACCAGCCACACUGGAACUGAGACACGGUCCAGACUCCUACGGGAGGCAGCAGUGGGGAAUAUUGCACAAUGGGCGCAAGCCUGAUGCAGCCAUGCCGCGUGAAUGAAGAAGGCUUUCGGGUUGUAAAGUUCUUUCAGCGAUGAGGAAGGUUGUAUAUCUAAUAGGUAUGCAAAUUGACGUUAGUCGCAGAAGAAGCACCGGCUAACUCCGUGCCAGCAGCCGCGGUAAUACGGAGGGUGCGAGCGUUAAUCGGAAUAACUGGGCGUAAAGGGCACGCAGGCGGUUGUCUAAGUCAGAUGUGAAAGCCCCGAGCUUAACUUGGGAAUUGCAUUUGAGACUGGGCGACUAGAGUCCUCUAGGGAGGGGUAGAAUUCCACGUGUAGCGGUGAAAUGCGUAGAGAUGUGGAGGAAUACCGAAGGCGAAGGCAGCCCCUUGGAGAGAGACUGACGCUGAGGUGCGAAAGCGUGGGUAGCAAACAGG
rnacentral:rRNA from 1 species